UACGUAGGGGGCAAGCGUUGUCCGGAUUUACUGGGCGUAAAGAGCGUGUAGGCGGCCAAGCAGGUCCGUUGUGAAAACUGGAGGCUUAACCUCCAGACGUCGACGGAAACCGCGUGGCUAGAGUCCGGAAGAGGAGAGUGGAAUUCCUGGUGUAGCGGUGAAAUGCGCAGAUAUCAGGAAGAACACCAGUGGCGAAGGCGGCUCACUGGACCGUUGUUGACGCUGAGGUGCGAAAGCGUGGGGAGCAAACAGG
rnacentral:rRNA from 1 species